rnacentral:rRNA from 1 species
GUCUGCUUCACCUCACCUCACCGUCCAGCAGCAGUAGCCAUCGCCACCUCACCCCCGCCUCUUCCGGUCCAGUUCACCCCUGCUUCCCGCCGCUUUCCUCCCCGCUCUGUGCACUGUAAGCGUGCACGCGCGCACCUGCCCUGCCUCUAACGGCGGUGGUAUAAAUCAGAGCUCCCCUGGCUCCGGCAGACGCCUCGGUUUCUCUCUUUCUUCACGCUCCCUCCCCACAAGCUGACGUCCUGACCACCCUCUGCAAGCUCGCCUCUCCCCACGCUGGCAACCGGGAUGAGCUGCGGCGGCGGCCAGAAGGCGGCACCGGCAACGGCAAGGGCACGCCCUCGCUGCAUCCCCAAGAGAGGGGCGGUGCUGAGGGGAGCCGUUCGCGGCGCGCUCCGCUUCCUCCUUUCCCCGGUGAACGGCGCACCGGCGGUCGGCGGCCGCGUGCAGCCAGCCCCCCCGCCCAACCCGGGGGGAGGUGACGCCGCGGCGGAGCAGGGGAAGUAGGCGGGAGGCAUCGUAUCGUUCGCCGGGUUUAGUUCAGCGAGCCAACCAUUUUAUCUCGGCCGUGUCCGUUAAUUAUGCUUCGUUCGUGUUGCUCGCCACAUCCAUGUUUUGCAUCAACUGCUCUUUCUUACUAAUCUGUUCAUCAACUGCUUCUGUUUGCGGUAAACGGCCACAUAACAAAACAACACAUUUGAUCCAUCCCUCCCCUUCAUCACAGAGCAAAAAUCACG